rnacentral:rRNA from 1 species
GACGAACGCUGGCGGCGUGCUUAACACAUGCAAGUCGAACGGAAAGGCCCUGCUUUUGUGGGGUGCUCGAGUGGCGAACGGGUGAGUAACACGUGAGUAACCUGCCCUUGACUUUGGGAUAACUUCAGGAAACUGGGGCUAAUACCGGAUAGGAGCUCCUGCUGCAUGGUGGGGGUUGGAAAGUUUCGGCGGUUGGGGAUGGACUCGCGGCUUAUCAGCUUGUUGGUGGGGUAGUGGCUUACCAAGGCUUUGACGGGUAGCCGGCCUGGGAGGGUGACCGGCCAAAUUGGGACUGAGAUACGGCCCAGACGCCUACGGGAGGCAGGAGUGGAGAAUAUUGCACAAUGGGCGGAAGCCUGAUGCAGCAACGCCGCGUGCGGGAUGACGGCCUUCGGGUAGUAAACCGCUUUCGCCUGUGACGAAGCGUGAGUGACGGUAAUGGGCAAAGAAGCACCGGCUAACUACGU